rnacentral:rRNA from 1 species
GAUGAACGCUAGCUACAGGCUUAACACAUGCAAGUCGAGGGGCAGCAUGAGAGUAGCUUGCUACUCUUGAUGGCGACCGGCGCACGGGUGCGUAACGCGUAUCCAACCUGCCGUGUACUCCGGGAUAGCCCUCUGAAAGGAGGAUUAAUACCGGAUGUGGUUGCGGAGAGACAUCUCUCUGUAAUUAAAGAUUUAUCGGUACACCGAUGGGGAUGCGUACGAUUAGGUAGUCGGCGGGGUAACGGCCCACCGAGCCAUCGAUCGUUAGGGGUUCUGAGAGGAAGGUCCCCCACAUAGGAACUGAGACACGGUCCUAACUCC